rnacentral:rRNA from 1 species
GACAGAGGGUGCAAACGUUGUUCGGAAUUACUGGGCGUAAAGCGCGUGUGGGCGGCUAAGCAAGUCGGGCGUGAAAUCCCACCGCUCAACGGUGGAAGUGCACCCGAAACUGCAUAGCUAGAGUCCUGGAGAGGAAGGUGGAAUGCUUGGUGUAGAGGUGAAAUUCGUAGAUAUCAAGCGGAACACCGGUGGCGAAGGCGGCCUUCUGGACAGUGACUGACGCUGAGACGCGAAAGCGUGGGGAGCAAACAGG